rnacentral:ncRNA from 2 species
UGAUGAUGAUCGGGAGAGACUGCCUGCGGCCAGAUGGAUAGCCGACCCGGCAGCACCGAAGGAGCAAGCCGUUAUCCUUGCCGGAUAACGAAUAAUCUCUCAGGUAAACGUACCGGCAUUUGACG